rnacentral:lncRNA from 1 species
AUGACUCCUAGAGAAAAAAAAAGCUUUGUCUCUGAGUCCGAGGACGAGGCGUGUGGAGGCGACCCCAACUCCGAGCCGUCUCCCGACGGCUGCGUCGUCCCUGACUCCGAGGAUGAGGCGUGUGGUAGCGACCCCGACUCCGAGCUGCCUCCUGACGGCUGCAUCGUCCCUGACUCCGAGGACGAGGCGUGUGGCGGUGACCCCGACUCCGAGCUGCCUCCCAACGGCGGCUUUGUCCCUAAAUCCGAGGAGAAGGCGUGUGGCGGUGACCCCUACUCCGAACCACCUCCCGACGACUGCAUCGUCCCUGAAUUCGAGGAUGAGGCGUGUGGCGGCAACCCCGACUCCGAGCUGCCUCCCGACAGCUGCUCCGUCCCUCGUGGGAAUGUGAUCAUGUGGGGCCGGAUGACACUGGCCAGAUAGAGUUUGACAUCCUCUGCACACGUAAAAGGUGAUUUAGGGUGUGUUUAGUUGACGAAAAGAAAAUUUUUGAAUGUCACAUCGAACGUUUAACCAGAUAUCGGAAGAGGUUUUUGGACACGAAUGAAAAUACUAAUUUCAUAACUCGCAUGGAAACCACGAGAC